AUGGAGACUGGAUACGUGGCGAAAAAGGCGGCGCGGAGAUCGAGGCGUCUACUCCCCGUCCCAUCCAAACGCCGCGGUCCGCCCCGCUUCGCGCGCGCCCCCAAAUUUCGCACCCCGCAGAAUCCGCGAACAACAAAUCUGCCUGUCAGACGCGGUGAUUCCGGCGAUCCGUCGCUCGGAGAUCGACGAAGCUCGGAAGAUCACUCGACGCAAAAACAGAAUGGAUCGAGUCGACCGAAGACGAAUUGCUCCUUGUCGACGAAGAGAUUCUUUGAUCCAGAACAGCGCACAACUAGAGCGCAAAAGUUAAUCGGAAACGACGUCAACUCCUUCUUCACUCGAAGCCUCAAUCCAUUCGGGGGCUAA
rnacentral:rRNA from 1 species